rnacentral:tRNA from 1 species
GCGCGUGUAGCUCAGUGGGGUAGAGCGCUGGCCCCAUAUGCCAGAGGUGGCGGGUUCAAACCCAGCCCUGGCCA